UACGUAGGGGGCAAGCGUUGUCCGGAUUUAUUGGGCGUAAAGAGCGUGUAGGCGGCCUGGUAGGUCUGACGUGAAAUCUCGAGGCUCAACCUCGAGCGGUCGUUGGAAACCGCCUGGCUAGAGUCCGGAAGAGGAGAGUGGAAUUCCUGGUGUAGCGGUGAAAUGCGCAGAUAUCAGGAAGAACACCCAUGGCGAAGGCAGCUCUCUGGGACGGUACUGACGCUGAGACGCGAAAGCGUGGGGAGCGAACAGGAUUAGAAACCCUGGUAGU
rnacentral:rRNA from 1 species